GAUUCCAAAGGGGAUGCUUAAUCAUUCAGCUGUCAAGGUUUCGAUGCUGCAAAUGCCAUUUUACUAAAUAAUGCAAAUCUGUCUCUUUACUUCUGAUCACACACCGCGGCUCUAUAGGUGCCUCGUCCCCGCUGUUACUGGGGAAGGGGCAGGGGUGCCUGGUACUGCAUCAGGGGCAUCCACCUCGUUCUGAAGGCAGUUUUGCAAAAUAUUGAGGGACAAUUCACAGAACAAACAGAUAAAAAUCACUGAAUGUUAAAGUUCCAUGCACCUGGAGAGGGCUUUUGAAAGCACUCAUUCAAAAUUUGGCCAAGCCAGGCCUACUGGCUGUUUGUCAAGGAAAUCACCUUUUACCCUGGAAAUUUGUUCACAUUUUCCUGGGUGAUCGCAUAUCUUCAAAGUACAAAGGCUAUGGGCAACACCAGCCUCUGCAUCCCAAAGAAAUCCCUGCUACAUUUUUUUCCCAGAACACAUUGAUAUAACCAAAGAAAUAUGACUCAGUCAGCCUCCAGAAAUAAAGACAGCUGAGAAUUUUCAAGCACAAUAUUCUCCAAUUUCAUAAAAAAAAAAAAAGAAGAGAAAGGGAAAUAAGAACAAAGUCAACAAAAAUGUAACACUGAACACAAUUUUCCAGUAUUAGAAUAACAAAUAAAAAGGGUCACUCUGUAGGUCAGUUUGAAGCACCUGAGGGAUUAAACCUGAGUACAAAACAAAAAACAAACAAACAAACAAAAAACUACAUGGCAGAGAGAACCAUAGCAGAAACACUUGCGACAGGAAGUGAUCACCUUGUGAGAAAGGGAACUCAAGACACUGGGGGAUCUGGCUUUUUUAUAACAACUCAUUCUUUCAAGAACAGAGGCUUAAUGAAACUAGCAUUAAACUAUUCCAAAAGGAAUGCCCCAAUAACCUGACCUCCUUCACCUGGACCUCUUUUGAUCCCCACUACUUCUCAUACUGGAGAACCUGCUUUUAGCACAUGAACGCUUUGGGGAACACACUCAGACAUGUCCGAACUACAGCACCUUCUCUGUCAGGAUCUGACCGGAGCACCGCUGUCCUCCUACUAAAAGCCUCUUCUAUAGUCCCCUGUACUGACACUGAAUUUAAAUGAUAAUCUGCUGAUGUGACACUUAGCUGCUGUUAUGCUUAUGCUGCCCUACCGCCAAUCUCUUCUUCAAACAAUAUCCAUUUUAUUCCGACUUUCCCUUCUGUAUUCUUUGUUAUAUUUGGGGGAUUUUUCUGUUUUGUUUUGCAGAGAGACAAUAAUCUCUCCCUUUCCCUUUCCUUCCCCAUGUCCUCACUGUGAGCAACUAUAUGUUGUUGAAUUGGAGGAUGUAAUUCAC